ensembl:lncRNA
AUUCACAGGAGGAGAUAAGGUGUGCCACAGUACCACUGAACUCAAAAGAAGGCGAGUCCGUGCAGUGCGCGUUCAUCAGUUGGAGAAACCCUUGAAACAAAGUUACCAAGAAGCCUUUUUUUGGACUCUAUGCAGAAAAUUCCUAAGAUGGUGAUAGAAUCAGGCUGCAGGGACGAAGCACAGACAAAAGAGCUUCUAAGGAACAUCGCAUACACCCAAAGACAACUUAAGAGACCUCACACCAACAAACUUUUAAGUCUCCAUAUGCUAAUUGACCAAAAAACAGGAACAGACAAUGAAGUCCUGCAGAGGGUUAUGAUGCACCCAAAAGGAAUAAUGCUGUGGUCAAAAAAGACACUGUCCGUUUUUUUCCAAAGAUGCAAGGAAGACAUCGUGUAUCUGGAUGCAACAGGAAGUAUAGUUCAAAAAGAAAGUGGCAAAAGUCCACCAUACUAUGUGUAUGAAUUAGUUGUGCGGAAUAGCUUCCAAGGGAGCAUCUCCUCUUCCUGUUGCAACCUACCCGACUUGUGACCACACCACAGCAUCUGUCACCUACUUUCUGCAGGCUUUCCAAACUGAUCUGAUGAAGUUGUAUGGGUAAAAGGGCAGUGCAGAGGCCAGUGAUGAUCAUUUGUGAUGGCUCUUUAGUGCUUCUGCAGUCCAUUUCUUUUACAUUCUGCAGACUAAGCCUAGAGGAUCUUCUGCAGAAGUACUUUGAAGUCAUCAUUGGCCAACAUCAAGCAGAAAGGUUUGACCUUCCCAUUCUGCACAGAUGCUUAAGCCACAUCAUGAAGAAUGCAAAGGAUCUGUGCAAAAAGCAUGUUCAAAACCAUUACAAGCUGGCCAUGCAUAUAUUUGGGCUACUUGCAUGUUCCACAACUCUAAAAGAGAUGGAUGAGGUCAUUCUCAGUGCCACAGUCCAGGUUCUGUAGUCCUUGCACUGGAGACAAUGUGUUUUUGCUGAGGACUACAAGUGUGAUGUCACUGCCACACCUAUCCAGAAUCACUUCCAACAAAAAAUUGACAGGGCACCUCUUGACCAUGAUGGUGAAGAAAACAACUAUCAUGCACCAAAUUUCAUUGCCCGGUUGGCUAAAUACUCCCUGCCGCAUGCCACUCUGUGGUCUGGUCUGAUGCUAGGGGAUAUUGGCCGUCAUGGUACAGGCCCAGCAUACCAGCAUUUCAGCAAGAUCCACAAAGAAGUCAUCCAGUCCAAUAAACAGAACUUUACACAAGACAACCGGACACAGGGCAUUAUGGAAAAAAGUCAGUGGGACCUCAAGUGAAUAAGAUUCCAGAGAAGGCGACUCACACGACUUGAUGAUUUUGUGCAGACAUACCAAAAUAUGCAUGAUGCACUGAUCAUUGAAUACCAAGACGGAGAAAGAACCAGAAAGAAAUAUUUGAGUGGAAAUGGAGCAGUGGAAGAAAAAAAGUCAGGGGCGUAAAGGAGUAUACGUCUCCCCACUAGUGAAGAGUCUCCCAUUCAAAGACAAGUCUCCAAAGGCAGCCACCAAUGAACCCAAAGAAAAACCCGAAGCUGUGAUCUCAACACAGGAUGAUUUGGAAGCUGCAGACACUGCAGCGGAAAAAGGCAACCACAGCCAUGGUCAACCCUCAGAAAGCAGCAGUGCAGCAUAUAAGAAGGAGAAAAUCCAAU